UACGUAGGGUGCGAGCGUUGUCCGGAAUUAUUGGGCGUAAAGAGCUCGUAGGCGGUCUGUCGCGUCGAUCGUGAAAACUUGGGGCUUAACCCUGAGCUUGCGGUCGAUACGGGCAUGACUGGAGUUCGGCAGGGGAGACUGGAAUUCCUGGUGUAGCGGUGAAAUGCGCAGAUAUCAGGAGGAACACCGGUGGCGAAGGCGGGUCUCUGGGCCGAAAUUGACGCUGAGGAGCGAAAGCGUGGGGAGCAAACAGG
rnacentral:rRNA from 1 species